CCUACGGGAGGCUGCAGUGGGGAAUAUUGGACAAUGGGGGCAACCCUGAUCCAGCCAUGCCGCGUGUGUGAAGAAGACCCUCGGGUUGUAAAGCACUUUCAGUGAGGAAGAACGCCUGGUGGUUAAUACCCAUCAGGAAAGACAUCACUCACAGAAGAAGCACCGGCUAACUCCGUGCCAGCAGCCGCGGUAAUACGGAGGGUGCGAGCGUUAAUCGGAAUUACUGGGCGUAAAGCGCGCGUAGGUGGCUUGAUAAGCCGGUUGUGAAAGCCCCGGGCUCAACCUGGGAACGGCAUCCGGAACUGUCAAGCUAGAGUGCAGGAGAGGAAGGUAGAAUUCCCGGUGUAGCGGUGAAAUGCGUAGAGAUCGGGAGGAAUACCAGUGGCGAAGGCGGCCUUCUGGACUGACACUGACACUGAGGUGCGAAAGCGUGGGUAGCAAACAGGAUUAGAUACCCCAGUAGUC
rnacentral:rRNA from 1 species